rnacentral:lncRNA from 1 species
UACUAUGCAAAGUUUUCAAGACCAGACCUAACUUCUUGCUGCAUGCUCAAGUACUUAGUGGUCCCUUUGAUGCUCAUAGGGUAAAAUUCGAUGCUCUCAACGACCUCACAGGUGCCCAGUUGGACUUCAAUGUGCACUUUCCUUCUAGAACUGCUUGGGAGAAAUUUGUAGAGGAAUGGAAGAACUCCAGCAGGAUUUACUUUGCUGAUAAUCCUGUUGAGACUAGUGUAGCUUCCAUUUUGGGCGUGAAAGGGAUGGAAAUGAA